ensembl:lncRNA
GAGUUGUGCAUCUUCUUAUGGGUACUUUGGGCAGCAACGUUGUACUGGACUGUCAGUUUACCUAACUUUAGUCCCGUCUGUUGCUCUGCGCAAUUCGUGACAGCCUCCUUUGUCCUCUUUCAUAAAUUACUCGUUUUCAAACCCUGGUUUUCCGUUGGCUGGAUGUCCUUUUGAUGUGGUGGAGCAUUUUUUUGGGAUACACACAGGAAACUGUCGAGCGUGGAAAAACCCAGCAGCGUUGCAGUUCUUAACACUGAAAGCUGGCACCUACUACCAUAACCCUGUUCAAAGGCACUUUGAUCGUUUGUCUUGCCCCUCUGAAUGGCACACCUACACAAACCUGAUCAGUCUAUGUCAUGGAAAAGAGCAGGUGUUCCCUCAUGUCUUGUACACUCAGUGUGUAUGUCGCAUCAGGUUUUAAAGGGUUAAAACAGAAGAGGAACCCCUGCCUGCAAGGCAGAGUGGUGGAGUGGUGGAGUAGUAGAGUGGUGGAGUGGUGGAGUGGUGGAGUGUGGUGGUGGUGGAGUGGUGGAGUGGUGGAGUGG